rnacentral:rRNA from 1 species
UUUAUCGGAGAGUUUGAUCCUGGCUCAGGACGAACGCUGGCGGCGUGCCUAAUACAUGCAAGUCGAGCGGACAGAUGGGAGCUUGCUCCCUGAUGUUAGCGGCGGACGGGUGAGUAACACGUGGGUAACCUGCCUGUAAGACUGGGAUAACUCCGGGAAACCGGGGCUAAUACCGGAUGCUUGUUUGAACCGCAUGGUUCAAACAUAAAAGGUGGCUUCGGCUACCACUUACAGAUGGACCCGCGGCGCAUUAGCU